rnacentral:rRNA from 1 species
AAGCUCGUAGUUGAAUUUCGGGAUUAGUACGUCGGUCGUGCCUUAGGUACGUACUGGUGUUACUGGUUUCUACCUUCUGACGAACCAUCAUGUCAUUAAUUUGGUGUGGUGGGGAAUCGGGACUGUUACUUUGAAAAAAUUAGAGUGUUUAAAGCAGGCUCGCGCUUGAAUACAUUAGCAUGGAAUAAUGAAAUAGGACGUUGAUCCUAUUUUGUUGGUUUCUAGGAUUGACGUAAUGAUUAAUAGGGAUAGUUGGG